rnacentral:misc_RNA from 1 species
AACCAUUCUCACCUGCGGCUAGACCUGCGGAGGGAUCAUUCAAAAAAAAUAAAUCCUAUAACUACCCUGUGUGCACUGUAUAACCCCAAUAAAUAAACGCUUUUUUUAUUACUGUCUGAAAAAAAAUUUUUUUAUAACAAAAAAACAACUUUCAACAAUGGAUCU